CCAGCUCCAAUAGCGUAUAUUUAAGUUGUUGCGGUUAAAAAGCUCGUAGUUGGAUCUGUGUGCCAUGCUGUUGGUUCGCCGUUUGACGGUGUAUUAACUGACAUGUCGUGGUACGUCCUGCCGGUUGGCAGUGUGGCGCGUCUUCGUGCGUUAGCCACGCUGUCAGUUGAAUCCUGUCGCGGUGCUCUUAACCGGGCGCCGAGGUAGGCCGGCACGUUUACCUUGAACAAAUUUGAGUGCUUAAAGCAGGCUAUGAUGCCGGAAAACUGUGUGCAUGGAAUAAUGGAAUAGGACUUCGGUUCUAUUUUGUUGGUUUUCAGAA
rnacentral:rRNA from 1 species